GAGUUUGAUCUUGGCUCAGGACGAACGCUGGCGGCGUGCUUAACACAUGCAAGUCGAGCGGAAAGGCCUCCUUCGGGGGGUACUCGAGCGGCGAACGGGUGAGUAACACGUGAGUGAUCUGCCCUCCACUUUGGGAUAACUGCCUGAAAGGGUGGCUAAUACCGGAUAUGACCGGCCGUUGCAUGGUGGUUGGUGGAAAGGUUUUUUCUGGUGGGGGAUGUGCUCGCGGCCUAUCAGCUUGUUGGUGGGGUAAUGGCCUACCAAGGCUUUGACGGGUAGCCGGCCUGAGAGGGUGACCGGCCACACUGGGACUGAGACACGGCCCAGACUCCUACGGGAGGCAGCAGUGGGGAAUAUUGGACAAUGGGCGGAAGCCUGAUCCAGCAACGCCGCGUGAGGGAUGACGGCC
rnacentral:rRNA from 1 species